GCUUGGAAUCACUUACUAUGGAGCUUGGAAGCUUGAAAUAAACCCUAGCUAUGGAGAACCCUUGAAAUUUCGGCCUAAUGAAGAAGAUGGACAAAAAUUGGCUUUUAAUUUUGUUUUUAAUUCAUUUUAAUAACUAAAUGACCAAAAUACCCUUACUACUAAACUUUCCAAAAAUUCCUUCCAUGUCCUAAUUUUGUCCAUGAACUUAAAAUUGGUCAAAUUGCUAUUUAAGACCUCCUCAUUAAUAU
rnacentral:lncRNA from 1 species